rnacentral:siRNA from 1 species
AUCAUAAUGGCUUUGAAUGGAGG